rnacentral:rRNA from 1 species
GUACGGGGGGGGCAAGCGUUGGUUCGGAUUUACUGGGCGUAAAGGGCGCGUAGGCGGCACUGUUAGUCAGGCGUGAAAGUCCUGGGCUCACCUGGGAACUGCGCUUGAUACGGCAGAGCUAGAGGAUGGAAGAGGGUCGGCGGAAUUCCCAGUGUAGAGGUGAAAUUCGUAGAUAUUGGGAAGAACACCGGGUGGCGAAGGCGGCGACCUGGUCCAUUACUGACGCUGAGGCGCGACAGCGUGGGGAGCAAACAGG